rnacentral:lncRNA from 1 species
CUUCCACACCCCGCAGUGCUGCAGACCCAAGCCCUGGGGAUCUCCACUGUGCUCACACUUAGCACGUCCUUGCUGAGUCAUCCUGGGCUCUGCUCUUAGGUAAGCUGACUUGGAUGAAGGAAGACCGUCUCCUCCCUGCGGCUGAAGAAACAUUACCAACAUGGCUGACUGGAUUCCUUUUGAGUGUUUUUUGUUUGUUUCAAUAUUUUUGAGAUGUUUGUUAUGUUUUAUGUGCUUGCCUGAACGAGUGUCUGUCCCUGUACCACACAUGCAGUGCCUGUGGAGGCCCAGAAGAGGUCAUCAGACACCCUAGGAUUGGAGUUGCAGACGGUUGUCAGCUGCCCUGUGGGUGCUAGGAACUGAACCCAGGUCCUCUAGAGGAACAGUAAGUGCUCUUAACUGCUGAGCCAUCUCUCCAGCAAUGCCCACCGCUAACCCCUGCUGCCUCUCCCCC